rnacentral:rRNA from 1 species
ACUCGAGCGGCGAACGGGUGAGUAACACGUGAGCAACCUGCCCCUGACUCUGGGAUAAGCCCGGGAAACUGGGUCUAAUACCGGAUACGACCUCUGCCUGCAUGGGUGGGGGUGGAAAGUUUUUCGGUUGGGGAUGGGCUCGCGGCCUAUCAGCUUGUUGGUGGGGUGAUGGCCUACCAAGGCGACGACGGGUAACCGGCCUGAGAGGGCGACCGGUCACACUGGGACUGAGACACGGCCCAGACUCCUACGGGAGGCAGCAGUGGGGAAUAUUGCGCAAUGGGCGGAAGCCUGACGCAGCGACGCCGCGUGGGGGAUGACGGCCUUCGGGUUGUAAACCCCUUUCAGCAGGGACGAAGCGCAAGUGACGGUACCUGCAGAAGAAGCGCCGGCUAACUACGUGCCAGCAGCCGCGGUAAUACGUAGGGCGCAAGCGUUGUCCGGAAUUAUUGGGCGUAAAGAGCUCGUAGGCGGUUUGUCGCGUCCGUCGUGAAAGCCCACAGCUUAACUGUGGGUCUGCGGUGGAUACGGGCAGACUAGAGGCAGGUAGGGGAGAACGGAAUUCCCGGUGUAGCGGUGAAAUGCGCAGAUAUCGGGAGGA